CUUCCCUCUCUCUGGUUCGGCCUUAAUACUCGCCCUCUUUUCUUUCUGUUUUCUCCAUUUUUUUCACCAUUAAUUUUAUAUCUUCUCUCCAUCGUUCCUUCUUCCCUUCCAUCGUCUUCUUACUCUCUGCGAAGCUCCUCCUGUUUUUAUCAUCAAUGGCCGGGCAAGAAAAGGGUCGGCCUUUGCCGAAAUUCGGAGAGUGGGAUGUGAAUAAUCCUGCAUCGGCUGACGGAUUUACAGUCAUAUUUGCCAAGGCUAGAGAUGAAAAGAAAUCCAGCGGCACAGCUGCAUCGGCCAAGCCUCCAUCACAAAAGAAUAUACCAAAAUCUGGUGGAUAUAAUCAUCCUCCACCGAAAAAAUGGUUCUGCUGUUUCUAAGAUUGGUAAAAUGGCGAUGGUUUUGGAGCUAUAAAUACACCUUAUAUAGUGGAAUGAAGAUUUUCAUGUGUGCAUGUGGGACUGCAAUUGGGGAGAUUUGUAAUGGAUGAACAUUUUCUUUGUCCCUUCAUUAUUAUAUUUAUGUUGUUUCCUUUUUUUUUUCCAAGCCAGACCAGAAAUCCCUGUUCUCUUCAUGUUUUAUGUAUUCCAGUAGGAAAGAGACAUGAUGAGAAUGAGGACACUGCACUUUUCUUACAUGUACCUGUGUAUAUUUCUUUGAUAACUAAAGUGCUUCUGUGAUUUUGGCUUGAGUCCUUACUCAUUAUUUAAUUAUUUAUUUUUUAAAGUUUUGGGUGA